CUCCUACGGGAGGCAGCAGUGGGGAAUUUUGGACAAUGGGGGCAACCCUGAUCCAGCAAUGCCGCGUGUGUGAAGAAGGCCUUCGGGUUGUAAAGCACUUUUGUCCGGAAAGAAAGCGCCCUGGCUAAUACCUGGGGUGGAUGACGGUACCGGAAGAAUAAGCACCGGCUAACUACGUGCCAGCAGCCGCGGUAAUACGUAGGGUGCGAGCGUUAAUCGGAAUUACUGGGCGUAAAGCGUGCGCAGGCGGUUUUGUAAGACAGGCGUGAAAUCCCCGGGCUUAACCUGGGAAUUGCGCUUGUGACUGCAAGGCUAGAGUGCGUCAGAGGGGGGUAGAAUUCCACGUGUAGCAGUGAAAUGCGUAGAGAUGUGGAGGAAUACCGAUGGCGAAGGCAGCCCCCUGGGACGUGACUGACGCUCAUGCACGAAAGCGUGGGGAGCAAACAGGAUUAGAUACCCUGGUAGUCCACGCCCUAAACGAUGUCAACUAGUUGUUGGGGAUUCAUUUUCUCAGUAACGUAGCUAACGCGUGAAGUGACCGC
rnacentral:rRNA from 1 species